rnacentral:rRNA from 1 species
AAGCAACCAGCCCUGAAAAUGGAUGGCGCUUUAGCGUUCUGCCUAUACUCAACCGCUAGAAUGGAGCUGGCACUUCGGUGCAGAGCCCGUAUAUUCUAGUGAGUAAGGAGGUGUGAUGGUAAGCGUUGAAGGGUCUGGGUGUAAACCUGCCUGGAGCUGCCAUCGGCACAGAUCUUGGUGGUAGUAGCAAAUACUCAAGUGAGAUCCUUGAGGGCUGACGUGGAGAAGGGUUCCAUGUGAACAGCAAUUGCACAUGGGUGAGUCGUUCCUAAGCCAAAGGCGAAAGCCACGCUCAUAAACUUGUGGCCACAUGAAUCUUAUAAAAAAUAUACCAUGCCAGAAACAGCACCGAAUGGAUAGGCUAUCCUCAGGUGCUCGUGGAAGCAAUAAUGGUUAUUUUUUCUUUCGAGUGAGCCUGCAAGGAGUUUGGCGAAAGGGAAUCCGGUACUCAUUCCGGAACCUGGACAUGAGGAGUAGUGUUGCUUUAUGCAUCACAUAGCCGCAAGGCAUUACCAUCCUGGAGAAUCCAACCAGAGAGCCGGGAAGAGUUGUCUUUUCUGCUUAAGGGGAAGAGGGCCUUGUGAACUGGGUCGGUCAGAGAGAGGGUCUUUUCCCCGAAUAGCACCGCGGUUCUUGCGGAGUCCAGCUCCUCUGGUAUGGAACUUGAAAAUCCAGGGGUAAGAUGAAAUACCUUCAUGCCAGUUCGUACCCAUAUCCGCAUCUGGUCUCCAAGGUGAACAGCCUCUUGCCGAUAGAUGAAUGU